rnacentral:rRNA from 1 species
GGAGGUAGUGACAAUAAAUCACAAUGCGGAACAAUGUUUUGCAAUUGGAUUGAGAACAACGUACAAACCUUAUCGAUAAACAAUUGGAGGGCAAGUCUGGUGCCAGCAGCCGCGGUAAUUCCAGCUCCAAUAGCGUAUAUUAACGUUGUUGCAGUUAAAAAGCUCGUAGUUGAAAUGAAGGGUAGUUGUGUAAUGAAUACAUUCGUGUAUUUUGUUAUUCUACUACCCUCCUUCUAAAUUCGAUAUAUGAGUAUUAAUUUACUUGUAUAUGGUUUUAGACAUUUACUGUGAGAAAAUUAGAGUGUUCAAAGCAGGCAUUUGCUUGAAUAUAUUAGCAUGGAAUAAUCAUGUAUGAUUUUCAUGAUGUAUUUGAUUGGUUUGGUUCAUGAGAAUAAGAUUAAAAGGGACAGUUGGGGGUAUUCAUAUUCAAUAGUCAGAGGUGAAAUUCUCGGAUUUAUGGAAGAUGAACAAGUGCGAAAGCA